GUACACGCUGUGACUAGCAUAUCAAUAAGCGGAGGAAAAGGUACCUACGCUUAGGAUGUUGACGAGACUGUCGAUCUCAUCUAUACAUGACUCUGCGCAUAUCAAUAAGCGGAGGAAAAGAAACUAACAAGGAUUCCCCUAGUAACGGCGAGUGAAGCGGGAAGAGCUCAAAUUUGAAAUCUUAAAGGGUUUCCCUUUACGAAUUGUAGUUUAAAGAAGUGUUUUCUGUUGAGGUUUUGGUAAAAGUUCUUUGGAAUAGGACAUCAUAGAGGGUGAGAAUCCCGUAUUUGACCUUUACUUUCAACUUUGUGAUACACUUUCAAAGAGUCGGAUUGUUUGGGAAUGCAGUCCAAAAUGGGUGGUAAAUUUCAUCUAAAGCUAAAUAUUGGCGAGAGACCGAUAGCGAACAAGUACCGUGAGGGAAAGAAGAAAAGAACUUUGAAAAGAGAGUUAGACAGUACGUGAAAUUGUCAAAAGGGAAGCGUUUGACACCAGUGUUGUUUUUCUGAAAAUCAAUUAAAGAACUGUUUAUGCUAAGUUGUUUAGACUUUAUCAGCUAUCUGUUUAGUUUUGAGCUUUUCUUUAAUGCACUUUUCAGUUAACAAGUCAACAUCAAUUUCUUUUGCUGUAAAAAAGCUUGAGGAAGGUGGCUUGAGAUUCGUCUUAAGUGUUUAUAGCCUCUUGCCUAUGCAGUCGGAGAGAUUGAGGUCUGCAGCGUAGAUCCUUCGGGGCUAAAUGCAUUUGUGCUAAGUUAUAGCAUUUUACAGACAACUUGUUGACUAUGAUUUGUCUUGUAGCUUACUCGCUUAUGUUAUUUUACCUACGCUUAGGAUGUUGACGAGACUGUCGAUCUC
rnacentral:rRNA from 1 species